UGAGGAAUAUUGGUCAAUGGACGCAAGUCUGAACCAGCCAUGCCGCGUGCAGGAAGAAUGCCCUAUGGGUUGUAAACUGCUUUUAUAUAUGAAGAAAAAGCUUUACGAGUUAGAGUGUUGACGGUAAUAUAUGAAUAAGCACCGGCUAACUCCGUGCCAGCAGCCGCGGUAAUACGGAGGGUGCGAGCGUUAUCCGGAUUUAUUGGGUUUAAAGGGUGCGUAGGCGGGAUCUUAAGUUAGUGGUGAAAGUUUUCUGCUCAACAGGAAAAGUGCCAUUAAUACUGGGGUUCUUGAAUGCGAUUGAAGUAGGCGGAAUAUAUCAUGUAGCGGUGAAAUGCAUAGAUAUGAUAUAGAACACCGAUAGCGAAGGCAGCUUACUAAGUCGUGAUUGACGCUGAUGCACGAAAGCGUGGGUAUCGAACAGGAUUAGAUACCCUGGUAGUCCACGCUGUAAACGAUGAUCACUAUCUAUUGGCGAUAAACUGUCAGUGGUAAAGCGAAAGUGUUAAGUGAUCCACCU
rnacentral:rRNA from 1 species